AUCACACUUUUCUUCUAUCUCUCCAACAGCAGCACACAUAAUAAUUAUCAUAAUAACUAAUC
rnacentral:tRNA from 1 species